UGAACGCUGCGGCAUGCUUUACACAUGCAAGUCGAACGGCAGCACGGGGGCAACCUUGGUGGCGAGUGGCGAACGGGUGAGUAAUACAUCGGAACGUAUCCUUAAGUGGGGGAUAACUCAUCGAAAGAUGCGCUAAUACCGCAUAAUCUCUAAGGAGAAAAGCAGGGGAUCGCAAGACCUCACGCUCAUGGAGCGGCCGAUGUCUGAUUAGCUAGUUGGUGAGGUAAAGGCUUACCAAGGCUUCGAUCAGUAGCUGGUCUGAGAGGACGACCAGCCACACUGGGACUGAGACACGGCCCAGACUCCUACGGGAGGCAGCAGUGGGGAAUUUUGGACAAUGGGGGCAACCCUGAUCCAGCCAUGCCGCGUGAGUGAAGAAGGCCUUCGGGUUGUAAAGCUCUUUCAUCCGGAAAGAAAAGGUUACGGUUAAUACCCGUCACUAAUGACGGUAUCGGAGGAAGAAGCACCGGCUAACUACGUGCCAGCAGCCGCGGUAAUACGUAGGGUGCAAGCGUUAAUCGGAAUUACUGGGCGUAAAGCGUGCGCAGGCGGUUUUGUAAGUCAGAUGUGAAAUCCCCGGGCUUAACCUGGGAAUUGCGUUUGAAACUACAAGGCUAGAGUGUGUCAGAGGGGGGUGGAAUUCCACGUGUAGCAGUGAAAUGCGUAGAGAUGUGGAGGAAUACCGAUGGCGAAGGCAGCCCCCUGGGUUAACACUGACGCUCAGGCACGAAAGCGUGGGGA
rnacentral:rRNA from 1 species